GCCAGGUGCGGUGGCGCACACCUGUAAUCCUAGCAGCUCCGGAGGCUGAGACGGAGGAUCCCAAGUUCAGAGCCAGCCUCAGUAAAAGCAAGACACUAAGCAACUCAGUGAGACCCUGUCUCUA
rnacentral:sRNA from 1 species